UACGUAGGGGGCAAGCGUUAUCCGGAUUUACUGGGUGUAAAGGGAGCGUAGACGGUUAUGCAAGUCAGAAGUGAAAGCCCAAAGCUCAACUUCGGGACUGCUUUUGAAACUGUGUAACUAGAGUGCAGGAGGGGUAAGCGGAAUUCCUAGUGUAGCGGUGAAAUGCGUAGAUAUUAGGAGGAACACCGGCGGCGAAGGCGGCUUACUGGACUGUAACUGACGUUGAGGCUCGAAAGUGUGGGGAGCAAACAGG
rnacentral:rRNA from 1 species